GAUCCUGGCUCAGGAUGAACGCUGGCGGCGUGCCUAACACAUGCAAGUCGAACGAAGCUUGACGGAUGAUUUCUUCGGAAUGAAACCAGAUAUGACUUAGUGGCGGACGGGUGAGUAACACGUGAGCAACCUGCCUUUCAGAGGGGAGUAACGGCGUGGAAACGGUACGCUAAUACCGCAUGACGUGUUCGGAUGGCAUCAUCUGAACAAUCAAAGAUUAUUCGCUGAAAGAAUGGG
rnacentral:rRNA from 1 species